AGAUUUACAUGGUUUUGACUUACAUCUCAAAACUUAUUUAAUUUAACUGUUACUAUACCUGCCGGCAGGUAUAGUAACAGUUAAAUUAAAUAAGUUUUGAGAUGUAAGUCAAACAGUAUUUCCCAGGAACAAUAUUUCAUCACAAAUGAACAAAUUGCUCCAAGAUACAUACAGUUCGAGCUCAUAUGAUUUUCUUCCUCCAAAGAGUAGUCGAAGAUUGAGAGCAUUCCUGCUAUCAAGAAACCUGUUAUCAAGAAGCCUGAUAUCAAAAAACCUGAUAUCAAGACAUGCAGCACUGUCAAAUCGCUCCAGUACCUUGGUCGAGUUAAAUCGUUUCUGCUCAGAUGUCCGCUGGAGUACUUCGUAAUGUUGUUCUAAGGAUG